GAGUUCAUGUGAAUCAGAAUCAGAAUACUUUAUUGAUUCUGAUUCACAUGAACUCGU
ensembl:miRNA